rnacentral:rRNA from 1 species
UACGAACUGUGCGAACGUUAUUCGGAAUCACUGGGCUUACAGGGUGCGUAGGCGGCUUGUUAAGUAGGGUGUGAAAUCCCCCGGCUCAACCGGGGAACUGCACGGGAAACUGACGGACUUGAGUUCGGGAGAGGGAAGCGGAAUUCCGGGUGUAGCGGUGAAAUGCGUAGAUAUCCGGAGGAACACCGGUGGCGAAGGCGGCUUCCUGGACCGACACUGACGCUGAGGCGCGAAAGCUAGGGGAGCAAACGGG